ACGGCCGGUCGCGCUGGAGCUGUACAAAGACUUCAAAGAGCUGGGCCGGUUCAUGCUGCGCUAUGGCGGCGCCACGAUCGCCGCCGGCGUGGUCACCGAGAUAAAGGAAUGAUGGGUCAGAAUUUCUACCGUGUUUCCAAAUGCAAUGAAAUAGCUAACCUGUUUUUAAAGAAUCCAGUUGUUCAGUUAAAGGAGCAAUGUGCAAUUGGUUAUUUUUUUAAAUGAGAAACUUAAAAUGAUAUAAUCAUCUGCAAAGAAGUAUUAAUCAUCACUCCUCCUAAAGUUUCAAGUUGCCAAAUGGCAAAGAAAGGCUAAUACUACGCUUUCAUUUAAAAAAACGCUUUCCCUUUGAAAUGUUAGUGAAUGGAUUUACUUUGCUGAGGUUUAUGGAAACCAUCAGAAAUAUGUAUUAGACGACCUUCAGUCAUCAUGAAAUGACCUCUGCUUCCAGCCAAACCACAAAACGUUUACAGUGUUCAACUCUACUGCACACUUAUUUUAAGGGAAAGUAACUAAAUUGGGUUGUUGAGGCAGUUAAUAUUCAACCUGAGCAAUUUUUUUUUUUUUUUUUUUUUUUUUUUAGCUAAGAAAAGACAAUAGGAAAGGUGUUUGUGUUGAGCAUAAGAAUAUUCUCCCCCCAACAAAUGAACUUUUGAAAGCUUAGUUUGGAAUUAGUGGAAACUGUCCCUUUGGUAACCAAUAUAUUAUUUAAGGUGUAAAGCCAACCAAUAAAAUGCCUUAGUUUGAGCAUAA